rnacentral:lncRNA from 1 species
CUGCGUAGAGUGUGUGUGAGAUGGUGCUGAUUGCUGAAAUAAACUACUCAAAAGUUAUCAGAGGAUGAGAAUGUAAGGCUAAAACAUAAUCAAAAUUCAACUCAAUUUCCAUAUGCAGGAGACUUACGGUGUUAAAACAAUACCGAUCUUGUGAAUUUUUCUCAAGUCUCCGCAAACUCGACUCAAAGUAAUCUAUAGCCUAAAACUUUCAAGAAGAUGCAAUUUUUUUUAGAAAGAAAACAAAAACAAAACAAAACAAAGAACAAAAACAAAGAAAAUAAAGUAUUCCCUCCCCCACACUUAAAAUAUGCAUUGUCCUCAAUGAAAGAAACAAACAUAAAAUAAGAGAGAGAAGAGAGAGGAAAGAACACACCCGAGUAGUCAAGGAGGAUAGGUGANNN